UAUUUAUCAUUUUUUCUUAAACUCUGACAGUGCUAGAACUCACACAACUCUUCAGGGAAGCUCAUUCCAACAGUGGAUAUUUGUCAUAUUUUGAAAAGUCUCAAUUCCUUCAACAAAUAUUCCUCAGGUGUCCACUAUAUACCAAGCAUGUUCUAGAGCAUGAGAACAAAGAGAUGACUGAAAACAGUGUUUGUCCUCAUAAAGUCCCUAGUCCAGCAACAGAACUCAGUACCAGGUGGCCCGUGGCUGUCCGUCCCUCUCAGCCCAUUUGGAGGUGACUCUUGCUUCUCUCUUGAUGGAUCAGCUUUCACUGCCCACCCCCAGGGACAUGACCAAAGAGGUUCCUCCUCUCUACCCCUAAGCGAAUUAGAACUGAGAGACACUCAAAGAUUCUGGACUGUCUUCUGAGCAGAGAAUAAAAAGUAGCUAUCAUCUGCCCACCACAGACAUGAAAAAACAAGAAAGACAGUUUGCAGAGAGGAGAGAAUGAAACAGGACUGUAGAGAGAAGCAGAGACAAGAAAUGGAUCUUCCCAUCUCGUCAUGAGCUUCCACUUCCAGACCCUGUACUCAGUGGAUCAGCUGGCACCACGCAGAUGGAUAAACUGGCUCAUCUGGUCUUCUGGCCCCACCCAGGAACUGAUUCAGCACAAGAGGACAGCUUCACCUUCCUAUGAUUUCAUCUGUGACCCCACCAAUCAGCACACCCCACUUUCCAACCCACUACUCACCAAAUUGUCCUUAAAAACCCUGAUCCCUGAGUUUUUG
rnacentral:lncRNA from 10 species